UACAGAGGUCUCAAGCGUUGUUCGGAUUCAUUGGGCGUAAAGGGUGCGUAGGUGGCGCGGAAAGUCGGGUGUGAAAUUUCGGAGCUUAACUCCGAAACUGCAUUCGAUACUGCCGUGCUUGAGGACUGGAGAGGAGACUGGAAUUUACGGUGUAGCGGUGAAAUGCGUAGAUAUCGUAAGGAAGACCAGUGGCGAAGGCGGGUCUCUGGACAGUUCCUGACGCUGAGGCACGAAGGCCAGGGGAGCAAACGGG
rnacentral:rRNA from 1 species